rnacentral:rRNA from 1 species
UAAAGCUUAGCCACCAAACCACCCAUAAUUCCUCAAAUUACUCUCAACCCUUCAUUACUACUGAAUCAUUUUAUAACUCUAUAAAAUCCAUCAUGCUAGAACUAGUAACAAGAAAUUUGCCUUUCUCCUAAAUGUAAGUAUAACCAAAAUGGACACACCAUUGGUUAUCAAUGCAAAUGUUAAAAUUAUAGCAACACAAGGCCAGAAUACCCUAUAACCCCCAAGCGUUAACCUUACACCAGAACAUUACAGGAAAGAUUAAAAGAGAAAGAAGUAACUCGGCAAACUUUAGCCCCACCUGUUUACCAAAAACAUCGCCUCUUGACAAAAUAUAAGAGGUCCAGCCUGCCCAGUGACUAAGUUCAAUGGCCGCGGUACCCUAACUGUGCAAAGGUAGCAUAAUCACUUGUCCUUUAAAUAAGGACUUGUAUCAAUGGCAUCACGAGGGCUACGCUGUCUCCUUUCUCUAAUCAGUGAAACUGAUCCCCCCGUGAAGAAGCGGGGAUUAACCUAUAAGACGAGAAGACCCCAUGGAGCUUUAAACCCAUCUAUAUAUCCGUUACCAAAAAUCAACUUAAUUUACGGACCCUAUAUGCUGGCUUUAGGUUGGGGAGACCACGGAGAAAAAUAUAACCUCCAUGACAAACGGAAUUCAUCCUUAUCUAUGAGUUACAUCUCUAAGAAUCAAUAAACUGAUGUUUGUGACCCAAAUAUUUGAUUAACGAACCAAGUUACCCUGGGGAUAACAGCGCAAUCUACUUCAAGAGCCCCUAUCGACAAGUAGGUUUACGACCUCGAUGUUGGAUCAGGGUAUCCUAGUGGUGCAGCCGCUACUAAAGGUUCGUUUGUUCAACGAUUAAAAC